UACGGAGGGUGCGAGCGUUGUCCGGAAUCAUUGGGCGUAAAGCGCACGUAGGCGGUCUUUUAAGUCUCAUGGUGAAAGGCUGGGGCUCAACCCCAUGCAUGCCGGGGAUACUGGGAGACUGGAGACAGGCAGAGGCCAGCGGAAUUCCGGGUGUAGCGGUGGAAUGCGUAGAGAUCCGGAAGAACACCGGAGGCGAAGGCGGCUUGCUGGACCUGGUCUGACGCUGGGGCGCGAAAGCGUGGGGAGCGAACAGG
rnacentral:rRNA from 1 species